rnacentral:tRNA from 1 species
GCCUGGGUAGCUCAGGGGUAGAGCAGUGGAUUGAAAAUCCUCGUGUCGGUGGUUCAAAUCCGCCCCUGGGCACCA